UAAAUAACGAUGCAGGGCCUAUGGCCAUGCAAUUGGAAUGAGUACAAGUUAAAUCCCUUAUCGAGUAACAAUUGGAGGGCAAGUCUGGUGCCAGCAGCCGCGGUAAUUCCAGCUCCAAUAGCGUAUAUUAAAGUUGUUGCAGUUAAAAAGCUCGUAGUCGGAUGUGAUGGGGAAGGGGGCGGUGUGCGCGAGUGCACUGAGCCUGGAGCCAUGAAGGGGGAGGCGCAGCGAUGCGGAGGAACCCGGGUUACUGUGAAGAAAUUAGAGUGUUUAAAGCAGGCGAAUGCUUGAAUAUUGCAGCAUGGAAUGACGAGGACGUGUCCUUGUUGGUUUGGGGGAGAUGAUUGGUUGAUAGGAGCAGUGGGGGCAUUCGUAUUCUUUGGUCAGAGGUGAAAUUCUUAGAUUCAAAGAAGACGCACUGAGGCGUAAGCCUUUGCCAACGAUGUUUCCGUUGAUCAAGAACGAAAGUUAGGGGAUCGAAGACGAUCAGAUACCGUCGUAGUCUUGACUAUAAACGAUGCCGACGCAGGAUCCGGUGGGGCGAGAGCUCAGCGGGGACUGUGGGAGAAAUCAGAGUGUUUGGGUUCUGGGGAGAAUAUGGUCGCAAGGCUGAAAUUUAAAGGAAUUGACGGAAGGGCACCACCAGGAGUGGAGCCUGCGGCUUAAUUUGACUCAACACGGGAAAACUCACCAGGUCCGGACAUACUAAGGAUUGACAGAUUGAGAGCUCUUUCAUGAUUGUGUGGGUGGUGGUGCAUGGCCGUUCUUAGUUGGUGGAGUGAUUUGUCUGGUUAAUUCCGAUAACGAACGAGACCUUGACCUGCUGACUGCGGGAAGUGCUUUGGCAUGGAACGGCACUCAGAGGGACGGGCUGCGGGGAGCAGCCGGAGGUGCGAGGCAAUAACAGGUCUGUGAUGCCCUUUGAUGUUCUGGGCUGCACGCGCGCUACACUGACAGAGGCAGCGAGUGACCUUUGCCGAGAGGCAUGGGGAAGCUUGAAAGUCUGUCGUGCUGGGGAUAGAUCAUUGCAAUUAUUGGUCUUGAACGAGGAAUUCCUAGUAAGCGCGAGUCAUUAGCUUGCGUUGAUUACGUCCCUGCCCUUUGUACACACCGCCCGUCGCUACUACCGAUUGAAUGGCUUAGUGAGGC
rnacentral:rRNA from 1 species